rnacentral:lncRNA from 1 species
CAAGGCGGUGUCUUCUGAUAUUGCUUCCGGCCAGUGGCACCUUUUGUGGAGCACCAAUAAGCCCUACGCCGCGCUGCAUUCGUAACCGUUUUGCACAGAGCCAUGUCGAUAUGGAACUCUUCUCUUUUGGUCCCCAGAACUCACCAACCGCCACACCCCGUUUCCUGAAUAUCCCCUGCAUACAUGUGACUAACCAAAAAAUGGUGAACGCUGGACAUGUGAUGUAUGGGUGGGUGCCCUGCCUUGCCAAAAUAUGUGAUCAUGGAAUGAUUUGAUGAACCUCCAUAAGCUUUUUUUUUGUAUUAUUAGUGGGUGCUUUUUUUUCUCAUGCGUGGUUUGAGUCGUUCUUAUGGCAUAGUUGGGGUUACAUUCUGCUGCUAUUUUGCUUGUCUUUUCCCCUGUUUUGGUCGUUGGAGCUUUCGCUGUCCCACUGCCGUGCGGGUAUCUUAUUCUUAUCCAGCGCUGCUGCACUAAACUCUGGUCCUUGCACGCAUUUGCCCCCUUCUUAGGACAGGGUUCUUCUACACCACGUGCGCAGAGUUUCCCAAAUGACGCUUUACUACAAAAAGUGCUUGGGUUAUAAAAAUCAUCUUCAUGAACUAUAAGAUUGAUGCCCACAACAACAUUUUCAGUUAUUUUUACCCAGGAAUCACAUUUGUGUUUCAUUCGGAAUACCUCAGCGUGAUACGCAUUAGAAUGCUUGUCGCUGUCCCUUCUCACGAUAGUUGAGCUGUUUUUUCCUACAAGAAUAAUACUCCCUCCGUCCCGUAAACACUGGGACGAAGGGAGUAACAUAUAGUUAAGACUCUCUUUGGAUCGAAGAAAUUUCACCGGACUUUUGGAAGAUUACAUAUAGUUAAGACUCUUCAUCAACGAUGGCUGCUGUUUUGUCUACUAUGAGACAUUAACACGACGACUUUUCAACUGUCUGCUACAACAGGGUUUGCCUGACUCCGGUGAGGAAGGGACGACGACACGCAUUCGACUUGCUCGUUGCAAGAUGGUUCAUGGAUGUGGUUGUAAUUUUUGUUACAUCUGAUGUUCUUUGUACAUGAUUGAUUAUGAAUAGAUUGAAGUUUUCUAAAAAAAAAGUUCCAUUAAUCCAAAAGAAGCCCUUGAGAUGCAAAUGGUAUAAUGAUAAGGAAGUUUAAAACAAGAGGAGGGCCACAUGAAAGAAGAGAGGAGAGCCCAUUUGUUGGUCGGUCCCACUCUCUCAACAGCAGGGGAAGCGGGCGGCAGCAGGGAGCAGGCUCCCGGGAAUCCAAUGGCCAUGACCCAGUCGUCCUUCGCUCGCCGCCCACCCCCCUCCGCGGCGCUCACCUCUCCCUCCUCCUCCUCCUCCUGGUCUCCCCCGAGGCACGGGCCGCGCCGCCGCCGGGCCCUCACGGCCGCGUCCUCCCUCCAUUUCCGGCCGGAGGACGUCGCCGAGCUUGCGCACAACAAGGUUCGCCGUAUAACUAGCUUAACGGACUGCUGCGUUCAUUUUCCGAUUGAGUAAGGACUCGGGCUCGUGUUUCAAGGUCUUGAUUGCGGCGACGGUGGCCGGUGUGAUCGGGCAGCUGGCCAAGCCCUUCACUUCCGGCAGGGGUGGGGGCAAAAUCGACAUCGUCAGGGUCGCCGCCCAGUCAGGGGGGAUGCCCUCCACUCACUCAGCGGUGAGACCAUCGUCUACCGACCAUUAAUUCCUUCAGUUUGUUGUGUUGCUGCUUUACUGGAGUGAGCAAGAGCGUGUUUGUCUCUUCUUAGGCCCUGCCUGGGAUAAGGUUAUGCUCCUGUUACAGGGGUCAAAUUCUUCCAGAGGCUAUUCUCACCAUCACAUUUCUACAACUUUAUAAACGGGCACUCCACAUUUACAUGUAGUGGUAGCACUAUAAGACGAUGAGAAAAAUUUAACAUCAAAUGAAUUUUUUAAUGAUUGUUAUUUUAUAUUGCUGAUGAUGUGGAUUGUUCUUAUCUCUUGUUGGUUGAACUUUGGAAGAGAAUUAGAGCCAAAGGCUUUUCGUCCCUUCCAUUGCAAGAAUGAAACAGCAUAAUGGUUUGUAAAGUUGGGCUGCACGAAUUCUAGGCAACAACCAGUAAGAAAUUAAGAAUGGAGAUAGAACGGAAAUGUGGAUUUUCCACAAUUACUUGUGUUCGCAACCCAUAUUGUGAAUAUGCAUCUCAAUGUUUCAAAACAUUUUGAAAUAAAAUCUUGGUUGUACUACAUAUUAUAUACCAGUUUUACAUACAUGAUUUCGUGUCGUUGCACGAUUCACGAGUGAUCACAUUUUUUGGAUGACUUAUUUUUGUAAAUGCUCAUACUGCAGCAAAUUAUGCAUUUGUAUUUUCCCUUGAAAGCUCACAAACUGUAUUUUCACAAUGGGCCGUGCCUGCAACUAGUUGCAGAUUUUCGUUUGACGAUUGUACAUAUCUUCUCUGUCACGCUGAAUAAUUAACUUGUCUCCGGUGGCCAUCUAUCUAAUGAAUAGUCUCUUAAAUAUAUGCUUCUGAAGUACAAGCACAACACAAUUCGAAAUGAAGCAUUAGUGCUAAAAAAACAUCGUAAAAAGAGAAAAAAAAUUAAGGACACAUGGGACAUGUAUUUAAAAGGGUGAACACAAAUCAUGAGAUAUCACAGGGAGCACAAAUGUGACUGUCAAUCAUACGAGGAAAGUUACAACCAGGGAAUUUUGCAACAAGGCACCCACUAAUCCUGUAUGGCCACCGAAAGCAUUAUAAGGCAGCUGAAUUACUGUGAGUUGGAAAAGGGGACAGAUCCAGAAACUAUACUUACGCACUACUCUCCCUAUGUACAGAGGCUGACUACUCUUUGCUCCCAUGAAUCGUCAUGCUUUAUCCAUUUGCACCAUCAUGAUUAGAAUCACAAAUCAAUACUUAGGAUGGUGUUUAGAUUUUUGAGAUGCUUUGUUAGUAAAAAUGAAAGGUUACAUUAGGAAACAUAUACCGUGGAAUAGGAAUCAAAGGUAUCAUCACAACAUGUUACUUCUUUAUACAGGUGCCACUGAUUACGAGUCGAGGGACUAGUCGAGACUAGUCGACAGACUAGUCUACGAGUCGCAGUUUGAGUGCCGACUACAAAUCUCUUGUAGACUACUUGGUUGAGUCGAGCAGUCGACAGACUAGUCUGGACUAGUCGAGCUAUUUGAGUCGACCGACUCAAAAUUCUGAGGGGAUAAGUCACCCAGUCCGGCCGGAGCUCAUGCUUGGGCGGCGGCCAUUGUCGUGGCACGUAGGCGUGCGCGGCCCUGAGAAGAAAGAGAAGUAAGAGAGAUAGAGGAGAGGAGAGGAGGAGACAUGGCGGUGGUCGAUGGCAGCGGCCGGGGUUGGCGGAAGGCGGCUGGAGGCACGGGUCGUGCGCGCGCGUGCUCCUGUGCGUGAUGGUGCUGGCGGCGGCAAUGGGAUCGAUCGGGAGCUAGGGCUCCAGUGACUGGGAGGCUAAGUAGGCUGGCCACUUGGGCCCAAAUGGGCCAGCUGGGGGGUGUUGCGUGGCGCUGGGCUGGGCCUGGCGAGCAUCGCCUAGCACUCCUGGUUUUAUUGCAUACUGUACUGUUAGUAAUAUACUACAUACUACUACUAGGUAUUAAUAGUUGAGUACUACAGUACCAUGUCGACUAGUCCAGCACUAGUCUAGACUAGUCACGAUUAGUCUAUGAGUCUCAACCUUGGAACGACUCGUCGACUCUUCGACUCGUAAACCUUGACAGGUGCACAAUCAUAUAUAUUUGAGAGGUAAAGGCCAAAGUGACAAUUCAAUUUUGUCUGAAUCUGACUAUUAUUCUUCAUAUUGUAGGCAGUUGUGGCAGUGACUACUUCGCUUGCGCUAGAAAGGUUAGCUUCUUUAACAUGCUUUAGCUCAGGGCUGACAUGUUUCUGCUUGUUUUUGUCCUUAGUGUUUGUGUUUUUAUUCUUAAUUCGGGGUUUAGAAUGCAGGGGGUUUGCUGACUCCAUAUUCGGGAUGUCGGUGGUAUUUGCGUCAAUUGUAAUGUAUGAUGCUCAGGUAUGGUAGGUUUAAUGCUUUUAUUUUCUCUCUUAUGUCGACUAAAUUAUCAAUCUGGCCAUUUAUCAACAUCAGUCAGCUUAUUGAUCAUUCAAGUGUGCCGGUGAUGUGAUUCAGCUUUUUUGCAUGUCCAAUCUGCCAAAUCCCAAAAAGUAUUGUAAACUCAAAUUUGAUAUUGAUUUGAUCGAGACUUGGUACGAGCAUGAGAACAUGUUGCAUUGUCAGGGAUUUGACUCUAUUGGUACCCAGCGAACUCUUCAUAUCUGCUGUAUUGUGCUAGAUCUCCCCGUUGCUGUUGUGUUUUUUCAUGAAACUUGCAGAACUCAAGUUUGACAUUGAUUUGAUCGAGACCUAGUACAAAUGCUUGAACAUGAUCUAUUAUCAGGGAUGUAACUCUCUUAAUACGCAGCGGACUCUUCAUUUCUGCUGUAUUGGCCUAGAUCUCCCCAUUGCUGUUGCGGUUUCUUUUUCACGAAACUGGGUGGUCAAAGGUGUUAGAAGUUUAACUAUCAUGUUUCACACGCAUCUCUUAAGAUGAAAAAAAAAGAAUCCAGAAAGAAAUGACAUUGGUCUGAUACAUUUGUUUUCUGCCUCUGUCCUCUUGAAUCUGUUAGACAUGCCAUGUGGACUGCCUCUAAUUUCCUCACACUAUGCUGUACUAGUAUAUUUGCAAUCCCAAUACUUCCAAAAAUGGUGAACAUGCUGAGCUGCACUUUGUAGUAUGGAUGUAUGAUGCCCCUGAUAUUAGCUGAUAUAUUCUGACGAAAAGAAAUGUCAGUUUGCACUGAAGUACGAAGCAGAAGCACUAUCACUAUCAUGUACCUUUACAUGAAGCGUGACUUUCAGGGCUAUCAAUCUGAGAUUUUCCCCCAUUGCUUCUGAUUUUGUUUCCAUCUGUGCACAUAUAAAACCAGUGCAUGUGUGAUCUAGCCUCCACUAAGUAAUUGUAUAUAUCGUUGUCAGUGCCACCGAAUUCUUUGACAGUGCAUUUGAACAUGGUUAAUUUCUUCGCAGCUUGGUGUGGGAUGCAGCUGUAAAAAGUUUGACCAGUUCAGCUAGUACCCAUGUUUUCUUUGUGAGGCACUGUAGUGGGUAUCCCUGUCAGUUGCAAGUUUUUAGGGUACAUGGGCAGUACGUGUUCCCAUCUAUUUAUCCUCCAUACUGCAUUUUAUGCCAAACUAAAAUCUGAGCUUUGUUAAUGGCCCGCAAAAAUCUCACACGAAGCUUGAUAGCGUCGUUUCAGAUUAGAAAUUUCUUGUGCGCUUUCACAAGCAAGUAUUAAAACCACCGUAGCUAAUGCUCAUGCCAUGCUUAUUUGUUGUUUUCAAUAGGGAGUCAGAAGAGAGGUGGGCAAGCACGCAAGGCUUUUGAACAAGCUAUGGACCCUACGGGAGCAUACGACGACUCAAGUUCAGGAGGACGGUGGUGGCCAGGUGAAUUCCACCUCUGAACCCCUCCCUGCAAACCGCGAGAUGGCCACGGAGCUUGUCUCCGUUCCUCGGGACGCAUCUAUGUCGCAGUGUUCAAACGCCGCGCCUUCCUCGACGCGCACGGAUGCGACCAGAUCGCCGAGAUGGAACUCCCUCCAAAGCUCAGAGCCAGAGCUAACUGAGUUGACAGAGGAGUAUAACCGGCUGAGCGAGUCCGUCGGCCACACGGAAGCGCAGGUCACGGUCGGUGCCUUGCUAGGCUUUGUUGUAAGCUUAGCCGUCCACGCGACACUGUAACAACAACCACUUCCGUUAUUCUUUUGUUACAACAUUGACCACAUGUAUGGUAGUUCUUUACGUGAAGAAACAACACAAUUGGUGGAUUGAUUGCUACCACCACUAUAGAUAUGUUUCAUGUUUGCAAACGCUUUAUUUGACUCUGCACCGGUUAACCGGAGCUUGAGCCUGGACGGUUGCUGACUUGAUGCUACCACAUUGGACAUUGCAACGCGGCAGCUACCGUUUCUUCUGUGAGAGUAGAGAGAGAAGUAGCUUCAAUAGUAGUAUAUGUUUAUGUUGAUGUACUCAUCAACAGGGACUUUGAUGUGCGUGGUGAGACGAUUAGUUAACUCAGACGGUGAGGAGGAGGAAGCGUGACGCAUCUGGCGUUGCUUUCUCUUACUCUAACACUGUUACAUAAAUAGGUAAAUUCAUUGGUCUCAGUAAACAAAGGCACCGCACGGCGAAGAGCUCCGUCUACGUGCAGGGGCUCAAAUUGAAUUCGAAAAUGCUUCACACACGACAGUGUUUGGACGAUAACUGCACGAUCGACGGAUCCAGCGGCCGCUGCUGGGCUGUGCUCGACAUUCUUCGGCUGGAUUUAACCGUCGUGCACAAGUCGUCCAAACUUUAUCGUCCCCAUAGCACCGCUCAAUUGAAUUGGACCUGCAGUGUACAGCUGAUCAUGCCAAGUGUGCAAGUAAUGGAUGGUGGCAGCGAGAUUCCGACUCAGGCUGUUCAGAAACACAAAGGGGCCUUUCUGAAGUUGUAACACAAGAAAGAAAGAAAGAAAGAAAGAAAGAAAGAAAGAAAGAAAAGGUAACAAGUGACCUAAUUGCCCAAUUUAGGAGGGCAAAGUUCCAACUCUUGUAUAAGCAUGGGUGUAAAGUAACUAAUUCUUGUUGAGAAGGUAAAAUGCAUAUAUCUGACAUACCAAGAUUUUGUGUGUGUAAUUAUGGCACCUCUUUUACCCUCAUCACUUCGGUAAUAAAAACCUACCGUAAUAACAUAAUUAGCUAAAAAUUAAAUAAAAAUACCAAUAAUUUUACAGAAGAAUCAAUAGAAAAUAUUCUUUUCGGGAGAAAACACUCAGAUCUAUUAACCAAACCGACGCUACAAACAACCCUAGAAACUAAACAAGUUAAAUUGAAGUCCCUGGGGGGCGACUCUCUUCUUCACCUUGAACGACCCGGUGCACAGGCACAAGCCACUCGAACACCGGAGCUAGCCUAACAUUGUUGAUAGUGGACAGGAAGUCAUAGAGGUCAUGGACCAUCACCCCGGAGAAGAAGUCGGUCUAAAGGACUCUACUGUUGCCGAUGUAUCGAUUUUUUUUCAUGAAUUUUUGUCAGACUUCUGGAUUUGGCUGUGUGCAUCUUAAUUAUGCAGAGGCCGGGUGUUACUCAUAAUGCUUUGUAUCCGGUUGAUGCUACAUUUUGAGAUAAUAAAGUCGCCCUUUAUCGAAAAAAGAAGAGCUGUAGAUCAAAGAGAUUGACCUCCAAAUAAUCUUGCACGCCUCACUCCCGCCGCGUACAGAGGCCGAACCUACGUGACAACGAUGAGGCCGGAGGACCCAACUAUGAAGGGAAGCUGCCGCCGCCGACAAACCCUAGCCUCACCAUCUAGAAUGGACAACAGAAACCUAUGCUCGUGAACCAUCAAUGUUGUCGUAGGCAACACGGACGAGAUGGGAUAUCUCGAGGAAUAAUUAUUCGUCGGCAGAUGGCAACACCACUAUAAAUGAUGCAUCACCAGAGACGUCUUUAUUGCAGAGCCAAUAGAGGAGGAGGGGGGCGGCGACCUACCAAAGGAGGGGAGUGGUAGUGUGGUGCGCCGAGGAUCGCCUCCCACUAGGAUUAGGAGAGGAAACGGUUUGGGGCUUGACAAAAUUUCAAUAGAAAAAGCUUACUCUACUCAUUUUGGCUAGCCAAAAUACAAAGGGCCAAAGUUUAUCUAGUGUCAUUCCGUGAUACAAACCCUGCUAGAUCAAAAGCUUGACACAUGAAACCGAUACAUUUACGAUAGUAAUCUUGCCUUGAUAUUUACAGUAGAUGCAGGAUGAAGAAGAUUUUGCCACACCUGAGGAAUUGGAUGUAAUGUUUUUAGUGUAAGAAUGUGUUUGUAAAGACUUGUUAUACUUAAUAUACGGCCUUAGUCCUUUUUACAAUAUUUUUUGACGUUGAGUUCUAGCAAUAAUUUGAAAUAUGGCACCUUCAGCAACAUGGAAUAUUAGGGGGGGAAAACAUCGCCAUCCAUUGCGGAAAUUAAAAAGGCUAGCUCGAUAUAUCCCAUUGCCCAACUUAACAAGCCUAGCUCGAUAUAUUCCAUUGCAGAACUGUUUACCACGGCGAGUAAAACAAUUUUACCCCUUUCUCAUGAAGAAAGUUUAUUUUUGUAUGAAGAAUUGAGUUAAUUAUUCCCUAGUUAUUUGAAUUUUGUUCACCUUAUGUUUUCAAAUGAUCUUGUAAACUCACCCUUAUGUUUGAAUUUGGAUUUAUACUCCCCUUUUAUUGCUUGAACAGAAUGGGAAAUCAAAGACAAAGGUUUUGUCAUAGUUAAUAGGAUAUGAUAACCAUUGAUAUGUGCCUCAAACAUAUAUGAUCAUCUCAUCAUGAAUAGUAAACAAAACUAUACAUUCUCUUUCCUCACAAAAAGAACAAGAAAUCAUACGUUUUCUUCACCUUACUCCAAUCCAAAAUUCAGAUGACCAAACUGAAUUAUUUGUCUUCCCUAAGUAUAUUAUCGUUUUAUAUUUUUUUCUCAUAAAGCCACCGAACCAAUGUUCUUAGUUCUAAUCCUGAACUUUUUUCUCCCACUCGAUCCCAAGUUAGUAAUUUGAAAAUCAAAUUAAAACCUCAGCUUGAUACCAUUCAAACCAAUCCAUUGAUGUUUUUGAUCUAAAUAAAUCAAAUCAUUCAUGAGCACCCUUGAAUCCUAUAUCAUGUAUACCUAAAUAGUUGAUUCCCACUAACUCUAAUUCUCUCAACAUGCAUUUUUCUUACGGGUUCUCUCAACAUACAAUUGCCAACUCAUCAUUCCACUAUGCAUGGAAAAAGGCCUACCUUACAUGCAUCAUGCAUGCUGCUAUAAAUAUUCUUACUAAAAAAUGUAAUAAAUAUUCUAAAACUAUACAAUAAUUAAAUACAAUAAAAUGUAUGUAUUUUACUUCCAAAUUCUCAUGUGUUAAUUCAAAUACUAAUUAUUCAUUCAACCAAAUCUGAUUGAAAUAAAUGCAAGCAAUUUCCGCAACAACCCGCGGAGUAUCAUCUUUAGUAAACAAAGGAAUAAAUGGAAACCAGAUACUCUGAAGUUAUGAAAGGGAACAGGUACCCACAGUACAGGGCAUAUAACAGCCCCCAAGGCCCUACUCUCUCUUCACACUCAUAUAUCUCCAACAAGCAAACCUUCGAAGCAAGUCCAGCCAAAUUGAAACUUCAAAACUAUAUCCUCAUCGUCUCCAACCAGGCUAGCUCCACAACAGAGCGCAAAAGACACCACCGUAUGCAUUGCUAGAUUUUUCUUUGUAAAUGUGACUUCGAGUUUGCCAUUAAUUUGUUGAAUGAAUAUAGAACCUUAGUGGAGCAAAUUAACUGCCCUACCUGCUCUAAUAGGUAUAGUGUAGCUAAACAAUACUAGCUCCAAAUUUUGUAGGUUAAGCAAAUUAAGGCAAACUCGAAGCCACAUAUACAAAAGUUUCCUUUAUACACAUUUAGAUGCAUUCCGUACCAAGGUAGAUCGACGAUCAAAUGAACCAGGUCUUAACAAAAACAUGAAAAACAGGAGCUGAUCAGAUCAACAGUACUAUAUAGCAUGGCAGCUAGCUAGGCAAAGCUCCAUUUAGCUACUUGGAGAACCUGAGGAGGUCGGCGGCCUCACAGCCGAGGUACUGCAGUGGCAUCCUCUGCAUGGAUGAAGUGCUGCUGCCUCCAAGCUGCUCCAUGAGUUGCUGCUGAUGCUGCUGCUGAUAAGGUGCCAUUGAUGCCGCUGCUGCGGCGGCAACCUUGCCCUGGAAGAGCUGGUCCAGGUUCUGGUGCGAGGCGAGGAGCUUGUCCAGGAUGGACCAAUCCGUGCCGGGGAAGCGGGGGUCGCCUCCACCGCCACCGCCACCGUGGUGGAGCAUUCCGUUGGCGCCGCUCGACGUGAGCUUCAUCAGGUUCUGUGAGCACUCGAGCUCGUGCGAGCUCAUGGCGACGGCGGCCGGUGCGCCGGGGAGGAAGGAGGAGAGCGUCUGCUGCUCGUGCUCGGCGCUCAUGAGCUGCGGGAGCUGCAUGGACGCGUCGAAGGAAGGGAAGUCGUAGUGCUGCUGCUGCUGCUGCAUGAGGUGGCCGGGGUUGUGCAUGAUGUGCUUCUGGUCCGUGAUCAUUUGCAUUGCGCCGGCGGUGGAAGAUGGAACCGGGAAAGGGUGGAGGAGCUCGUCGUCGUCGUACCCCGCCAUCUCCGCCGGGUUCACGCCUCUCGUGUAGCUCUUCUUGGUGAAAACCCUACACACCACCCAGCCAUCUUCCUGCAUUUCGGACCAAAUUAUACUGGUAAGAAAAGACAGCCCGGUAUCUGUGGGACUUGCUUUCAGUUCGUGUCUGAUGAAUGCUUUGCCUACCUGGACCUCGACGUUGUCUUCGUCUAGGCGGUACUCGUGCAUGAUCCAGUCGGUCUUCUUGCCGUGGGGAGCCCUCCCGACGUAGAACACCAGCGUCUUCCUCAUGCCGAUCCUCCUGGAGCCGCUGCCGAGGAAGAUGGCCUUGUCGCGGCCCGUCGCUUUCCAGAACCCCGCCGUGGUGGCCCGGUUCGUCCUCGUCCCCGUCGGGUACUUCUUGUCCUUGUGGCUGAAGAAGUACCACUCGUUCUGCGGCCCCGUGCCUAUCCUGCACCGAUCUGCCAUUACAUGACACGACACAUGCAUAUAGUUUGUCAGCACGAUUGAGUUAAUGUUUAUCAAUUAGCUGCCUGAAUACGGGAUGCCUCGGCCGGCUUGGUCACCUACCUUUGAGGUCCCAUGGCUCGAGCUUGUUGAGGUCGAUCUCCCUGAUGACGUCAAGAUCUAUGGCCUCAUAGGCGACCUUCUUCCUCAGGUAGUAGUAGAGGAGCUCCUCGUCCGUCGGAUGGAACCGGAAGCCCGGUGGCACCGACAGCGCGCCGCCACUCGGAUGCAUGCUGGCUCUCUCCCUCGCCGGCCCUAAGAUCGAUCUGAGAAGAAGAAGAAGCAAACACCAUGUGUGUGGAACCAAUCAGCAAAACCAAAUCAGAAGCUCCUUCCACCUUCCUCAUCAUGCAUAGAGGUAAUAAUAUAUAACAAAAGGAAGAGCACAAACCUUGGAAAAUCUCCUGUUGCCUUUUGUGCCCAAACCAACGAAGGAUAGAGAGAGCGAGAGAGAAGCAAGAGAAACAAGAGGAAGAUGAUGGUGCAAGGGAAGUGAAGAGGAUGUGCAUGGGUUAUAUGGGAAGGGGCAGCUGCGGGGCAGCAGGGUUAGCCAGUCCAAGAUGCUCACCAGAGACAAACCCUAGGUCUAUAAAAUGUUGUAUAUACUGCCUGGGCUGUGCAUGGAUGGGUUUGAGCUGGCCAUUGGUGCUAUACUAUAUAGGUAGCUAAAUUCUUUACGAGAGCAUUGACCAUACUGAUAGGAUCACAGAACUAACGUCCAUGCACAUGUAGUAAUAUGGACCAGGCAUGUCUUGGGGCGGUUUUGGAAGGACUAAAUGAAAAGAAGGGGCUAUUGUCCCUUGAUUAGGGGACCCUGCCCCAAAACUGGCCUCAGAAGGAGCGAUCUGGUGUCUCCAUCUGGAACACUAAUGUAUCAUUCCUGUGUGAUCUUUUGCAGAUGCGCCCCUGCCACAAAAAAUUAUCGAGGCCUAUUAUCUAGACUUGGUGUUUGUUUUCUCUCAAAGGAAAAAAAUGUGUUGGAGAGAGCAAAGUGAGCAAGGGUUAGUCUGUAAGAAGUACUAUGCGGUAGAGUGGUAGACUAUCUGUGCUCCAGUUUGGACUUUGCACGUGGGAGUCAGGGGAACAAGGGAAUUAAACCUCUAAUUCCAUCGCCCCAAAUCCCAAUCUCUCCAUUCUUCUUCUAUUCCCUGCAAAUCGCCUUACUUUAUUGCGCUGCGCUUUAGAUUAAUGCCCAAUCUUGCGCUCUUGUCUUGGCUAUGGGAAUGACUUUUGUUACUUUACUCGUCCCGAUUAGAGAUCUCAGCCUAGGUGAAUUUGAAAGCUGAGUUACUAAUUAGUGACUUUGCGUGGCAGCUCGUCUUGAAGUUUCUUAACGAGCUAGCACAUUGUCAACUGUCUGUCCAGUCAGACAACUGGUAACUUUCUGGAUAUAUGGUUAAGGUGUAGCAUUUCAUUCGCAAAAGGUGUAGCAUUUCGGUAUGAUGUACUACUACUUUCUGGAUCUAUAUAUAUAGUAGUAUAUGACAAUUAACGUACGACUAUGAGAUUUUAUAUGCGUUUUCUAGAGGUUAUAUAUAAGUCACAUAAAGUUUUCUGCAUAGGAAUUAGGAUCUCUACGUAUCAUGAUUGACCAUAUAAUUACAGCUAAUUACAGCGUAUGUAGGAAGGCGUACGUCAUGAAACUCACACGGGGUAAAAGAUCACAUAUAUACGGGCCGGGGGAUGGCGUAUUUGAAGUGCUACAUGUACUACAGUGCAGCACAUUGAUCAAGGUGACAUAGGGAAUCAAAGCAACGUAGAGACACAGUCACUGCAUGCACAGCUAGCUAGGAAGAAAUGAAUUAAGACACGAAAACUUCCACGUACGCGCUUGCGCAUGGGGUUCGUGAUUUAUCUCUCAUCUCUGCGUCGUAGUCACGCAUGUAGGAGUACCUACGUACGCACGAUGGCAAGCUAGCUAGCCAGCAAUUCGUGGAACGUCGGCACAACGAUCGAGAGUGACCCUCUCUGAGUAGAAGAGCACUAAUAUUGUUUGGGGAAAAAGGGGGAGGAGACGGUUGGAAAUAUGAGCAAUUUACCAUAUGAUUUUAUUAACGGAAAUACUAGAUAAAGCAUGACUAAAGUAGCAGAGAUAAAUCAAGUCAUGCGAUCUGACAAAGAGAAGGUAGAUAACAUCUGCAAAUAUAAACUAGAACCGAACAUCUCUAGAGUAGACAGUAGACCAAGUAGCAUAUAUGAAGUAGAACCUAUCAUGUGUAGGGCAAGGACUAGAACAAGGAACUGUGACAGAACCUCUAACAGGAAAAACAAGAACACGUACGGGACAACAGCUGCAACAGUAGCACUGGACUUGGGGUCGGUGUCCUCGGUAGCCAUGUCGUGGAGGAGGUUGUCGACGUUGGGGAAGUAGUCGUCGUCGGGGUCCGGGGUGUCCGUGACGAAGAAGUCAGUAGUCGCGCAGAGCGCUCCCCAAAAACCUUAUCACCCUUCUCCCGUACAGGACUCAAAGAGGUGCGGUUUCGGAGGCCUACUGUCCCGACCUGCGGUGCACGCCGCAAGCCGGGAUGAGGAAGAUCGUAGCAGCAGCACAGUGUUCAGGAACCGGUGGCGAGAGGAAGAAUGAGUUCUGGUGCGUCUCUCAACCCGCAACCCGCGGCGCGUCGUGACGAGGCGGGCGGCGGAGGAGGAGCGCGUGUGGAUGUCCCUCUUGUUCUCAUGCUCAUACAAGUGGGGAAAGAACCUCCCUUAUAAGGAGGUCCAACUCCCACUAAACUAGCAAUGUGGGACUAAACUUUAGUAGUAUCCCUUGCCUUGCACAAAUGGGCUAAGUGGGCCUCUAGGAUUUAUUAGGAAUUUCUGAAAUAGUUAUUGGGCUGCCCAAAAUAGACUAAAUUCUAGCAAUCCCCCACCAGAUCCCAGAGGCACACAGAAAUUUGCCUUUGGUUCCAAAACACUGUUUUAUAUACCGGUACUGCAGUGGAGACUGUUAAGUUGAACUUCCACCUAGAACUCUAUGCUACACUAGUAAGCAACUUGAACAGUGGACUGGGCCUUGAACUGCAAGUUUUCUGCGAAUCUAGCUUCACAUAAAGCCUUGACCGAUACGUGGCUACCGUGGGUCUUCCCCGCGGGUGGAGCUUAUGCGUCAUACUCCGAGACCUUUCAUGAGUUUACUAAAGAGAACCCUACUCUCAUAGAUUGCGACGUUUGACAAUCAGACUCAUAUAGGUGUGUUCUUCAAAAGAUGUUCUGCAGGACAACAUCUUUGCUUAAAUGAGCCACUUAGAACAUAUUAAGAUAUACAUAAACCUGCCAUGCAGAUUAGGAGAGUAUUGCAUCUUCAUGGAGUGGUAGUGUUGAUAGUAAGGAUACUCUCCUCUCAGUUGACCAACAGCUUGUGUUCCACAUCUAAUUCACGGGAUCUCCGAUCACAAAGAAUAGGUUACCACUGUGAACAACUCAUAUUGUGGGUCUCAUACCCAUCUCCCUUGAUGCAUUAUCUAUCACAUUACGUGAUAGACCCUUAGUAAAGGAUCUGCCAGAUUUUUAGACGUUUGGAUAUAAUCCAAUGCAAUAACUCCGGAGUUUCUCAUUUUCCUGACAGACUUUAACCUUCUCUGAACGUGUCUCGAUGACUUCAUGUUAUCCUUUGAGCUGCUCACUUUCGUGAUCACAGUUUGAUUGUCGCAGUUCAUAAGGAUACCCGGUACAGGUUUCUCAACAACCGGCAAGUCAUUCAAGAGCCGACGAAGCCAGUCUGCUUCGACCGUAGCUAUAUCUGGUGUUGUGAGUUUUGCUUCCAUUGUUGACCUCGUUAAGAUGGUCUGCUUGCAAGACUUCCAAGAAACAGCGCCACCUCCAUGAGUGAAUACAUAUCCGCUCGUGGCCUUUAUCUCAUCAGCAUCUGAGAUCCAGUUUGAGUCACUAUACCCUUCAAGCACCUUUGGGUGCCCGGUGUAGUGAAUUCCAUAAUUUGCAGUGCCUUUCAAAUAACGCAAAACUCUCUCUAGAGCUUUCCAAUGCACAUCUUCUGGUUUUGAGACAAACCGACUCAGUUUGCUAACAGCAAAAGAGAUGUCAGGCCUUGUAGCACUUGCUAAGUACAUAAGCGAGCCAAUAAUCUGAGAAUAUUUCAAUUGAUCUCUAGCAAUUCUUCGACUCUUUCGAAGUAACACACUCGCAUCAUAUGGUGUUGGAGAGGGCUUGCAGUCACUAUAGCCAAAGCGACUCAAGAUCUUUUCCACAUAAUGAGAUUGAAGCAAUGUAAUCCCACCAUCAUCGUCUCUCAACAACUUGACGUUCAGAAUGACAUCAGCCACUCCUAAAUCCUUCAUCUCAAAACAGCGACCUCCUUAAUAACAUUCAGAUUUGUUCCGAAAAUUAGUAUGUCAUCAACACACAAGCAAAGGAUAACUCCCUCGCCCCCACCAUGGCGAUAGUACACACAUUUGUCAGCUUCGUUUACAACAAAGCCUGCAGCUGUUAAAGUUCUUUCAAACUUCUCAUGCCACUGUUUGGGUGCUUGCUUGAGUCCAUACAACGACUUCAGCAACUUGCACACUUUCCCUUCCUGACCAUCUAUUACAAACCCAUCUGGUUGUUCCAUAUAAAUUUCCUUGUCCAACUCUCCAUUUAGGAAAGCAGUCUUAACAUCCAUUUGAUGAACGAGAAGACCAUGUGAGGCAGCUAGUGAAAGUAGAACUCGAAUAGUGGUCAGUCGAGCCACAGGUGAGUAAGUAUCAAAGAAGUCUUCACCUUCCUUUUGGGUAUAACCCUUAGCCACGAGCCGAGCCUUGUACAUUUCAAUAGUACCAUCAGGCCUAACCUUCUUCUUGAAUACCCAUUUGCACCAGAUUGGCCCUAGAUCCUCCCUCAAUACCUCGAGCACAUGUAUCCUUUGCUCUCGCAUUUUCUUCCACAUCAAGAGUGCCAAUGAGAUCCGGGACGGAAAACUCCUGUCUCUUAUGUUUCAGUAAGGUAGCAAAGUUCCUCCACGAAGGAGGAAGCUUAGUGAUGAUACCUCCGGCAACAAACUUGUCCGGUAGCAUACAACUGAAGUGCUCAAGUUCUCUAGCAAAUGACUGUAUCUCAUGAGCUUGCUCAACCAUGGAGCGGUCUUCAGUCAUCCUGUAAUCAUAGAAUUGCUCCAUGAUGUACAGCUCAGUGCCAGCAUCCGAGACCCCAAACUUGGCCUCGAGUGCAUCCCACAUAUCUUUUCCAUUAUCAAUUGAAGCAUAAGCAUCAACUAUGUUCUCACCAAGAACACUCAAGAGAGCAGCCUUAAACAGAGUAUCCAUUUUCUGAAAAGCUUGUGCCUGUUGAGCAUCAAGCUCUCCUUCAGGUUUGCCAAGAGUGGCGUCAUAGCAACUCAUGGUUUGAAACCAUAAGACUGCUCUCACGCGCCACCUCUUAUAGUGGAUACCCUCAAACAUAGGAGGUCUCAUGGAAGCAGCAAAACCACUCGGGGUAAAUUGCCUAUAAUAAGGUUUUUGGAUUGUUGGAAAUAUGAGCAAUUUACCAUAUGAUUUUAUUAACGGAAAUACUAGAUAAAGCAUGACUAAAGUAGCAGAGAUAAAUCAAGUCAUGCGAUCUGACAAAGAGAAGGUAGAUAACAUCUGCAAAUAUAAACUAGAACCGAACAUCUCUAGAGUAGAUAGUAGACCAAGUAGCAUAUAUGAAGUAGAACCUAUCAUGUGUAGGGCAAGGACUAGAACAAGGAACUGUGGCAGAACCUCUAACAGGAAAAACAAGAACACGUACGGGAUAGCAGCUGCAACAGUAGCACUGGACUUGGGGUCGGUGUCCUCGGUAGCCAUGUCGUGGAGGAGGUUGUCGACGUCGGGGAAGUAGUCGUCGUCGGGGUCCGGGGUGUCCGUGACGAAGAAGUCAGUAGUCGCGCAGAGCGCUCCCCAAAAACCUUAUCACCCUUCUCCCGUACAGGACUCAAAGAGGUGCGGUUUCGGAGGCCUACUGUCCCGACCUGCGGUGCACGCCGCAAGCCGGGAUAAGGAAGAUCGUAGCAGCAGCACAGUGUUCAGGAACCGGUGGCGAGAGGAAGAAUGAGAUCUGGUGCGUCUCUCUGAGAGGAGCGACCUCCCUUUUAUAGGCGCAAGAGAAGGAGGCGAGAGGCUGCGCCGGAAGCUGAAGGGAACGUGGGAGAUGAAACGAACGGGCAGCAGCCGAAGGGUGCAACGUUCGUAUUCAAUAUCCACUACAGCAAAAACUUUCCAGCUCCCGAGUGGCCUUUCGUAUACCCGUAGUGCGUGGCAAAAAUUUAGACAUUGGCUCGGCUCAUUCCCGCAACCCGCGACGCGUCGUGACGAGGCGAGGCGAGGCGAGGUGGGCGGCGGAGGAGGAGCACGCGUGGAUGUCCCUCUUGUUCUCAUGCUCAUACAAGUGGGGAAAGAACCUCCCUUAUAAGGAGGUCCAACUCCCACUAAACUAGCAAUGUGGGACUAAACUUUAGUAGUAUCCCUUGCCUUGCACAAAUGGGAUAAGUGGGCCUCUAGGAUUUAUUAGGAAUUUCUGAAAUAGUUAUUGGGCUGCCCAAAAUAGACGAAAUUCCAGCAAUCCCCCACCAGAUCCCAGAGGCACACAGAAAUUUGCCUUUGGUUCCAAAACACUGUUUUAUAUACCGGUACUGCAGUGGAGACUGUUAAGUUGAACUUCCACCUAGAACUCUAUGCUACACUAGUAAGCAACUUGAACAGUGGACUGGGCCUUGAACUGCAAGUUUUCUGCGAAUCUAGCUUCACAUAAAGCCUUGACCGAUACGUGGCUACCGUGGGUCUUCCCCGCGGGUGGAGCUUAUGCGUCAUACUCCGAGACCUUUCAUGAGUUUACUAAAGAGAACCCUACUCUCAUAGAUUGCGACGUUUGACAAUCAGACUCAUAUAGGUGUGUUCUUCAAAAGAUGUUCUGCAGGACAACAUCUCUGCUUAAAUGAGCCACUUAGAACACAUUAAGAUAUACAUCAACCUGCCAUGCAGAUUAGGAGAGUAUUGCAUCUUCAUGGAGUGGUAUUGUUGAUAGUAAGGAUACUCUCCUCUCAGUUGACCAACAGCUUGUCUUCCAUAUCUAAUUCACGGGAUCUCCGAUCACAAAGAAUAGGUUACCACUGUGAACAACUCAUAUUGUGGGUCUCAUACCCAUCUCCCUCGAUGCAUUAUCUAUCACAUUACGUGAUAGACCCUUAGUAAAAGUAUCUGCCAGAUUUUUAGACGUUUGGAUAUAAUCCAAUGCAAUAACUCCGGAGUUUCUCAUUUUCCUGACAGACUUUAACCUUCUCUAAACGUGUCUCGAUGACUUCAUGUUAUCCUUUGAGCUGCUCACUUUCGUGAACACAGUUUGAUUGUCGCAGUUCAUAAGGAUACCCGGUACAGGUUUCUCAACAACCGGCAAGUCAUUCAAGAGCCGACGAAGCCAAUCUGCUUCGACCGUAGCUGUAUCUAGUGCUGUGAGUUCUGCUUCCAUUGUUGGCCUGGUUAAGAUGGUCUGCUUGUAAGACUUCCAAGAAACAGCGCCACCUCCAUGAGUGAAUACAUAUCCGCUCGUGGCCUUUAUCUCAUCAGCAUCUGAGAUCCAGUUUGAGUCGCUAUACCCUUCAAGCACCUUUGGAUGCCCGGUGUAGUGAAUUCCAUAAUUUGCAGUGCCUUUCAAAUAACGCAAAACUCUCUCUAGAGCUUUCCAAUGCACAUCUUCUGGUUUUGAGACAAACCGACUCAGUUUGCUAACAGCAAAAGAGAUGUCAGGCCUUGUAGCACUUGCUAAGUACAUAAGCGAGCCAAUAAUCUGAGAAUAUUUCAAUUGAUCUCUAGCAAUUCUUUGAUUCUUUCGAAGUAACACACUCGCAUCAUAUGGUGUUGGAGAGGGCUUGCAGUCACUAUAGCCAAAGCGACUCAAGAUCUUUUCCACAUAAUGAGAUUGAAGCAAUGUAAUCCCACCAUCAUCGUCUCUCAACAACUUGAUGUUCAGAAUGACAUCAGCCACUCCUAAAUCCUUCAUCUCAAAACAGCGAGAUAGAAAAUCCUUGACCUCCUUAAUAACAUUCAGAUUUGUUCCGAAAAUCAGUAUGUCAUCAACAUACAAGCAAAGGAUAACUCCCUCGCCCCCACCAUGGCGAUAGUACACACAUUUGUCAGCUUCGUUUACAACAAAGCCUGCAGCUGUUAAAGUUCUUUCAAACUUCUCAUGCCACUGUUUGGGUGCUUGCUUGAGUCCAUACAACGACUUCAGCAACUUGCACACUUUCCCUUCCUGACUAUCUAUUACAAACCCAUCUGGUUGUUCCAUAUAAAUUUCCUCGUCCAACUCUCCAUUUAGGAAAGCAGUCUUAACAUCCAUUUGAUGAACGAGAAGACCAUGUGAGGCAGCUAGUGAAAGUAGAACUCGAAUAGUGCUCAGUCGAGCCAUAGGUGAGUAAGUAUCAAAGAAGUCUUCACCUUCCUUUUGGGUAUAACCCUUAGCCACGAGCCGAGCCUUGUACUAUUCAAUAGUACCAUCAGGCCUAAGCUUCUUCUUGAAUACCCAUUUGCACCAGAUUGGCACUAGAUCCUCCCUCAAUACCUCGAGCACAUGUAUCCUUUGCUCUCACAUUUUCUUCCACAUCAAGAGUGCCAAUGAGAUCCGGGACGGAAAACUCCUGUCUCUUAUGUUUCAGUAAGGUAGCAAAGUUCCUCCACGAAGAAGGAAGCUUAGUGAUGAUACCUCCGGCAACAAACUUGUCUAGUAGCAUACAACUGAAGUGCUCAAGUUCUCUAGCAAAUGACUGUAUCUCAUGAGCUUGCUCAACCACGGAGCGCUCUUCAGUCAUCCUGUAAUCAUAGAAUUGCUUCAUGAUGUACAGCUGAGUGCCAGCAUCCGAGACCCCAAACUUGGCCUCGAGUGCAUCCCACAUAUCUUUUCCAUUAUCAAUUGAAGCAUAAGCAUCAACUAUGUUCUCACCAAGAACACUCAAGAGAGCAGCCUUAAACAGAGUAUCCAUUUUCUGAAAAGCUUGUGCCUGUUGAGCAUCAAACUCUCCUUCAGGUUUGCCAAGAGUGGCGUCAUAGCAACUCAUGGUUUGAAACCAUAAGACUGCUCUCACGCGCCACCUCUUAUAGUGGAUACCCUCAAACAUAGGAGGUCUCAUGGAAGCAGCAAAACCACUCGGGGUAAAUUGCCUAUAAUAAGUUUUUGGAUUGUUGGAAAUAUGAGCAAUUUACCAUAUGAUUUUAUUAACGGAAAUACUAGAUAAAGCAUGACUAAAGUAGCAGAGAUAAAUCAAGUCAUGCGAUCUGACAAAGAGAAGGUAGAUAACAUCUGCAAAUAUAAACUAGAACCGAACAUCUCUAGAGUAGAUAGUAGACCAAGUAGCAUAUAUGAAGUAGAACCUAUCAUGUGUAGGGCAAGGACUAGAACAAGGAACUGUGGCAGAACCUCUAACAGGAAAAACAAGAACACGUACGGGACAUCAGCUGCAACAGUAGCACUGGACUUGGGGUCGGUGUCCUCGUUAGCCAUGUCGUGGAGGAGGUUGUCGACGUCGGGGUCCGGGGUGUCCGUGACGAAGAAGUCAGUAGUCGCGCAGAGCGCAGUGUUCAGGAACCGGUGGCGAGAGGAAGAAUGAGUUCUGGUGCGUCUCUCUGAGAGGAGCGACCUCCCUUUUAUAGGCGCAAGAGAACCUCCCUUAUAAGAAGGUCCAACUCCCACUAAACUAGCAAUGUGGGACUAAACUUUAGUAGUAUCCCUUGCCUUGCACAAUUGGGUUAAAUGGGCCUCUAGGAUUUAUUAGAAAUUUCUGAAAUAGUUAUUGGGCUACCCAAAAUAGACUAAAUUCCAUCAAAGACUAACAAAAUCUCCUCGUGUGCACUCUCUGCGAUCUGCCGACACCUGUCUAACCGAAGUGACAGGUGUCUGACACUCACCCGUGUUCAUGACUCGCGCGAUGGCUUCUUGGCACGUUCUGCACGACCUCGACACAUUUCUAAGAUCGAGCGGAACACGCCGAGAAGCGAAAAGGAGCCGAGGGAAGGAGCGAUGCAUGUGGCGAAAGGAUUACAUGGGAUGCUCUAGCUUGACAGGUGGCGGUAGAUCGUAGAGGGCACACACAAGAGGAGAUCUGCGUACGGUCUCCACCAAUUUUUUCCCUAUCGUGUUGACAUGAUGAUAUAUCAAUAUCAACUAAAACAGAAUCAUCUAAUGGUCGGCGUGUUCUUAAGACUCAUUUAGUUUGCCAUGUGUAUAAUUUUUUUUAUAUACACACAUACUAUUCCUAACGACUUCUCGUCGUUUUUUGCCCACAAGAUUAGUCAUGUUUUCGGUAGUAUCUUUCCUAUGGCGCUCCAUAUGUGUUAAAAAUUAGGGUAGUGCUUGCCCUAGACCUCGCCACCCGAUCUAAUCCCCCCUAGCUUGCUUGCGUGUGUACUCUUGGGUGUAGCUGCCACCGCCGUGAGUGUUGUUGGUGCCGAGGAACUUCAUUGCAUCAUCGCCACCCCCUCCCCUUGUAGUAGCGCAGUGAUAGGUUGCAGCAACACUAACAAUCUUUGUAGCAUCCUCGGUUACCGCAUCGGCGACGGUACUUUGCAACACCGACGCUGCCCCUUUUAAGCGUCGGUGGUGUCCCCAUUUUGGCAGUUCAUGACGGCUUGCAGCACUAGUGCCAGUCUUGUAGCACCCCGAUGGCCUCUGCAUCAUUACGAUGCACACAACCAUAUUUCAUUAAAGUUCAAGACCAUCAAUCUCUAACACCAACAUAGUACUCAAAAAUAAAAAACAAGCCACAACCAGCACAAAUCUAGAUAUUUUUUACCCUCACUAAUGUGUAAAGGCGUAGAUAUUUUUUGGUGAGCUAUGUGUUUCCAAACCAAAUAAUCCUCCCAGAAUCUCACUUGAGAGCCAUCUUUGUUGUUAAACAUCCCAAGCCGUAAAAAAUCCCGUUUUACAUUCAUCAGGCCGGGCCACAAAUUAGACUCCCUGAUUCCACUCUACCUAAGACUCUUGGAUCUCCCAAGUAUUUAUUUUGGAUAAGUUCCUGUCACAUGCCGUCCUCCUUGAUUAACUUAGACAACCUUGUUGCAUUGUUGACUGAAGUACCUGAUUAUUUCUCUUACUUGCAUUGUUGGCUGAAGUGCCUCUUACGCUAUCUAGCGCGCUCGCUUCGAUGCACAAAUGCUCUUACAGGAAUCUGGUCAAUAUGCGAGGUUCAGCUAGACAAAACUGAUUAGAAUAUAUCACAGAUAACGGAUUAUUGUAAAUUUAUCUGUUCAUUCCAAGUUAGCAACUGAUCCGUAGCAGGUAGAUUAUCCUCACAAAAUUAACUGUCCAGACACUUCGUGAAGUUGAAGGAGGUUUUAUGUUAGGUUGAUCUCUCCACCAAUGGGCCCAACGGCUCAUUGGGCCCUUGACCCACGCCCUGAUCGGGGGCGUCCAGCCCAAGCAAGGCUGGUGGGCCCUGUCGCGCAGUGCUAUAAAGAGGAGGUGGGGACCAGGGGCACGGGGUACGAGGUUCGUCACCGCCACUGUUCCCCACUCCUAACCCUAUCCGAUCCAGAGGGAGGCACUGAAGCGAUGGGAAGCUCCACCGCUGCCACUCAUGCACUUCACCGUCGACCUCUACACCGACCGUCGCUGCCCGUGCGCAGUCCUCCAUCGACGAACCAGCAAUGGCCGGAACGCUAAGGUAAACACCCGAAUACAGACAAUAUCCCACUGAUCUACUCCUAGUCGAUCCAGUAAGUCAAUCAAUGGUAUCUAAGAGCCAGUCUAGUGAGUACAUCAAGUUGGGAAAGAAAGAUUCGGAAACGAAUCAAAAGAGAAAAGAAAACGAACACAGAUACGAUUUCGAUCUCGGAUCGAAGCAGAUAGAGAGAAAAGAACUCCUCGUCGGAAAAGUUGCGCCGCCGCAACGGCCGCGUCAUUCCUCUCGAUUCGGACGCGCAUCGGCAAGCCGAGGCGUCGGACGAAGAACAACCGGAGCUAGCUCAACGUUAUGCCGGCAAAGAAAAGAAAAAAGACAAAAAAAAGAGAGAGGGAGGCACCGCGGCCCAACCGCUUGACGGCGGCGCGCUCACCCCAAGGGGAACGCACCACCGGCGAAGGGAUCGGCAACGGCGCCGCCACUCCACACCGUCGGGCGCUACAAGGGAGCAGAGGUGGCCUCGGCCUCGCAUCUUUCUCUCUAUCAAAGGAAGAAAAGGGGAAGGGGAAAGUGGAGAAUGGGUGCUCGCGCGCUGCCGUGGCGACGCCGUCGCCGGCGGCCGACGGGGCCCUCGGUGUCUCUCUCUUUUUCUCUGUCGCAGGAGGCGGAGGAAGAAAGAGAUGGAGAAAGAAAAGGAAGGAAGGGAGCUCGAGCGGCGCAGCACGGCGCGGUGGUGCGUCACCGUCGCCGGCGACCGGCGCGGCACGGUGACCGAGUGGCCGGCGUCGAGCGCAACGGCUCAUUUCGGGAGCGAGAGAAGAGCGGCGCGAGAGGGAAAGAAUGGCCUAGGGUUCGUCCCGAGCGGCGCGGUUGGUUGUUUCGUUCGAUCGCAUCGCGCGCGCGGCCGUCGGAUCGCGGUGAACGGCCAGGAUCAAAACCCUAGUGCACAGCGGGCUUCUUGGGCCGAAAGUAUAGGCGGGUCCAGGCCGGCUGGGCCGCGCGCUGGGCCGAGGCCUUAGCCGCACGCCGUUGCUGCUGCAGAUUUUGUCCAGUUUCUGGGCAGAUUUUAAAUAGCUUUCCUAUGCAAUUUUUUCCAACGAAAAUUUUGUCUAGAAAAUAGAAAAGUGACAGAAAAAGUUUCUGAAAAUGCAAAUAGAAAAUUUUCAGAAAAAGAAAAGUUCAUGAAUUUUAUAAAGAAAAUUAAAAAGUUCAUGAUUUUGUUUAUUCGGUCAAAUAAAAGUUCUAUAAAGAAUAUAAAGUCCAUGAAUUUUUUAUUCAUGUUUUCCGCUGCAAAAUAAAGAAAAGUGCUCUUUUAAAAGAAAAAUAAAAUUGUUUUUGAAUAGAAUAUUGUAAAGUUUCCGCUGCAAAGUAAAAGUUUGAUCCUCCAAUUAAAUUGGAACCAACGGGAAAAUUUAAUUGGAAGAACUGUUCUUAGCAUUGUUUUUCCCCUGUGGGUGAAAUAAGAUCCAGGUGAAAUAAGAUGCAUAUAGUUUCCGCUAUGACAAAAGAAAGAUAUUUGUUUUAAAGUUAAAAUAUGGUAUUGUUAUUUUCUGACUAACGUUGAUGAUAACAAUACUAUAAUUCUAUGAGUCUAAUGUUCAAAGCUUAAACUCUGAUAAAUUUUGUGUCAAAGUGAUCAAUUUUCAGAGAACAGUUAAAGAUGAACUAGAGAAAUGCAUAUUUCUUGUUUCCGCUGCAAUAAAGUUGAUGAUGAUGAUUAUUUCUUAGCAAAGUUGUUUAAUAGAAAUACUAUCAUCACAUUGUUUAUGAGUUAUAUGCAUUAUUUCCAUUUCCGCCCAACGGUGAUAUGGAAUUAAUGUAGAAGAACGAGUUUUAUUCUAAUUCUACCACAACGGUGAUUUAGAGUAUAAAGAAAGUUUUAAAAAGUUUAAUGUGCAUAUUUUUUUAACCAGACCAACGUAGGGUUAUUUUUUAUGCUCAUUAUUGUUGAUUAUUGGCUAAGUUUUCUCAAACUAAAAGUUUUCCAUGCUUUCAUUCGUGAAAGCGAAUGGCUAGGUACUUGUUACCCGAAAGAUGACCAAGAAAGGUCAUAACGUGAGGGAGUAUGUUCUCUCUAAAGAAUGGCUUCAAAAGAAAAGAAUUCUUGGAUAUUAAUCCAAGAAAAGAAAACAAAUAGAUCAUUGAGAGUCUUGGUUGACGAAUGUCUUUCAUGUAUUCUAUAGGAAGAAGAUUUUUCAGUCAACACUUUUUGAGAUGAAACAAGCAACAUGCGUGUUUAAUUUGACCAACGUCGGAUUAAGCAUGUGUGUCAAAGAGCGUUCGGAUUUAUUCCUGAAUUUCAUGAUUGCAUAUGCAGUCAAAAGAGCCAAUUCUGGCAUUUAUGUUCCUUACAGGGAAUUACCCGCAUAGCGGGAAAAGAGGAUUAUGAUAAAACCCGCAUGGCGGGGAAAGCCUGAGAAAAUACCAGCGUAACUGGGUAAAGUUGACAUAGUAUUAUGUCAAAAAUCCUAUACGUCAGGAGAAAUUUUGGCUAAGACUUAUCCUGUGUGACAGGAGAAAGAUAUGAUGACUCAUGUGCGUUUAAUGUGUCCCACUCUGGGAGAAAGUAUGGAGUAGCUAUUAUGCUUUCCUAGUAUCGACCGUACACCUUAUGUGCAACGGUCAUCCAAAGAGAAUAAAAGUUACAGACGAACCUAAAGAUAAGAAUGAUAUGCAAGUGUGAUGUGACGUCCCCGAUUUGACCGUACACUAAUCAUGCACGCAAAUGUGUACGACCAAGAUCAGGGACUCACGGGAAGAUAUCACAACACAACUCUAAAACAUAAAUAAGUCAUACAAGCAUCAUAAUACAAGCCAGGGGCCUCGAGGGCUCGAAUACAAGUGCUCGAUCACAGACGAGUCAGCGGAAGCAACAAUAUCUGAGUACAGACAUAAGUUAAACAAGUUGCCUUAAGAAGGCUAGCACAAAAGUAGCAACGAUCGAAGAGGCAAGGCCUCCUGCCUGGGACCUCCUAACUACUCCUGGUCGUCGUCAGCGGCCUGCACGUAGUAAUAGGCACCUCCAGUGUCGUAGGUGUCGUCGUCGACGGUGGCGUCUGGCUCGUGGACUCCAACAUCUGGUUGCGACAACCAGAUAGAUAGGAAAGGGGGAAAGAGGGAGAGAAGCAACCGUGAGUACUCAUCCAAAGUACUCGCAAGCAAGGAGCUACACUACAUAUGCAUGGUUAUAUGUGUAAAGGGGCAUAUCAAUGGACUGAACUGCAGAAUGCCAGAAUAAAAGGGGGAUAGCUAGUCCUGUCGAAGACUACGCUUCUGGUCAUCUCCAUCCUGCAGCAUGUAGAAGAGAGUAGAUUGAAGUCCUCCAAGUAGCAUCGCAUAGCAUAAUCCUACCCGGCGAUCCCCUCCUCGUCGCCCUGUUAGAGAGCGAUCACCGGGUUGUAUCUGGCACUUGGAAGGGUGUAUUUUAUUCAGUAUCCAGUUCUAGUUGUCAUAAGGUCAAGGUACAACUCCGGGUCAUCCUUUUACCGAGGGACACGGCUAUUCGAAUAGAUAAACUUCCCUGCAGGGGUGCACCACAUAACCCAACACGCUCGAUCCCAUUUGGCCGGACACACUUUCCUGGGUCAUGCCCGGCCUCGUAAGAUCAACACGUUGCAGCCCCACCUAACUAAGCACAGCAGACGGACAAGAAUGUAGGGCCACUGAUGGAAAACUAGCAUCCUAUACUAAGCAUGUAGGAUUGCAGGUAAAGGUAUCAACAGUAGUAGCAAGGAUAGGCUAUGCAUCAGGAUAGGAUAUCGAAAAGCAGUAACAUGCUACACUACUCUAAUGCAAGCAGUAUAGAGAAGAAUAGGCGAUAUCUGGUGAUCAAGGGGGGGCUUGCCUGGUUGCUCUGGCAAGUAGGAGGGGUCGUCGACUCCGUAGUCGAACUGGGCAGCAGCAGUGUCGGUCUCGUAGUCUACCGGAGAGAAGAGGGGGAAGAAACAGUAAAUACAAUGCAAACAUAAGCAUGACGAUGCGUGGCAUGACAAUGAGCGGUGCUAGGGGUGUCCUAACGCGACAGUAGGUGGUACCGGUGAAGGGGGGGAACAUCCGGGAGGUAUUCCCGAUGUUUCGCGUUUUCGGACAGACGGACCGGAGGGGGAAAGUUGCUAGUUCGAUAGGUUAGGGAGGUGUGGUGGACGAACGGACUGCGUAUUUGGAUUCGUCUCAUCGUUCUGAGCAACUUUCAUAUAGAAAACAUUUUCAUCCGAGUUACGGUUUAAAAGAUAUGAAUUUUCAAAGUUUAUUUGAAUUUCUGGAAUUAUUUAAAUUAAGCAAAAAUGAAUUAUGAUGUCAGCAUGAGGCAAUGCUGACGUCAGCAGGUCAGCAGGUCGGCUGACCAGUCAAACCAGACAGGUGGGUCCAGUGGGACCCACAUGUCAGCCUCUGUUAGUCUAAUAUUUGUUUAAACUAAACUAACAGUCUAAUUAGAGGGGUGGGCCCCAUAUGUCAGUGAGUGAUUAGUUAAUCUAAUUAUUUUUAUUUAUAAAACAUUUUUUCUUUUUUUUUUCUUUUUUUUUAUUUUUGCGGCGGGGCCCGCACGUCAGUGACUGGGCCUGCCCAGUCAGCACGUUGACCCAGUCAACGGGGCCCACGGGGCCCACUGGCAGGGGCACUGGGGUGGCCCCAGGCCAGCCACGUCAGCGUCAGGUCAGUACGGCGGCCGGAGCAACUCCGGCGAGCCAAACGCGGCGGCGCGGCUCGGGAGGGGUGCGGGUUUCACGCACAGGGGGUUUGCGGGGGCGUGGCUGGGCGCGUUCGACGCGGCUCGGCGCCGCGCGUCCAACGGNNNNNNNNNNNNNNNNNNNNNNNNNNNNNNNNNNNNNNNNNNNNNNNNNNNNNNNNNNNNNNNNNNNNNNNNNNNNNNNNNNNNNNNNNNNNNNNNNNNNNNNNNNNNNNNNNNNNNNNNNNNNNNNNNNNNNNNNNNNNNNNNNNNNNNNNNNNNNNNNNNNNNNNNNNNNNNNNNNNNNNNNNNNNNNNNNNNNNNNNNNNNNNNNNNNNNNNNNNNNNNNNNNNNNNNNNNNNNNNNNNNNNNNNNNNNNNNNNNNNNNNNNNNNNNNNNNNNNNNNNNNNNNNNNNNNNNNNNNNNNNNNNNNNNNNNNNNNNNNNNNNNNNNNNNNNNNNNNNNNNNNNNNNNNNNNNNNNNNNNNNNNNNNNNNNNNNNNNNNNNNNNNNNNNNNNNNNNNNNNNNNNNNNNNNNNNNNNNNNNNNNNNNNNNNCCGAGGAGGCAGGGGUGCUGGCGCCCUUAUCCUCCCCGUCGCCGGCGAGGGGGUGCGGCGGGGACGGCCACUGUUCGACCCCGGUCGGGGGAACAGGGAAGGGGGCGAGGGGGGAGAGGUGGGCUGGGCCGGGGGUCGGGGGUGGCGGCCCAGUUUGGGCCACGGGUCCAGUGGGGGGGAAAGGGCCUUCUCUCUUUUUUCUUUUUUUGUCUGUUCUGUUUUCUGUUUUCUUUUUACUUGUUUAUUUUCUUUUCUGUUUUAGUUCAUUUAAAAGUAUUUAGGUAUUUUAUAAAAAUGUGUUUUCUCCACCAUAAUUACCAGUGUAUUAUUUGGCACCCACCGAACAUUUUUGUCUAAAUUUUUGAAAACUUUUAUUUUUCACUUUAANNNNNNNNNNACCCCGGUCGGGGGAACAGGGAAGGGGGCGAGGGGGGAGAGGUGGGCUGGGCCGGGGGGUCGGGGGUGGCGGCCCAGUUUGGGCCACGGGUCCAGUGGGGGGAAAGGGCCUUCUCUCUUUUUUCUUUUUUUUUUCUCUGUCUGUUCUGUUUUCUGUUUUCUUUUUAUUUGUUUAUUUUCUUUUCUGUUUUAUUUCAUUUAAAAGUAUUUAGGUAUUUUAUAAAAAAAAUUCUCUGUCUGUUCUGUUUUCUGUUUUCUUUUUAUUUGUUUAUUUUCUUUUCUGUUUUAUUUCAUUUAAAAGUAUUUAGGUAUUUUAUAAAAAUGUGUUUUCUCCACCAUAAUUACCAGCGUAUUAUUUGACACCCACCGAACAUUUUUGUUUAAAUUUUUGAAAACUUUUAUUUUCACUUUAAUUAUAUUUGAAGUUUGAACUAGGAGUUUGAAAAGGAAGGUGAUUCAAAUGUGAUCAAGCCCUGUUUAGCAACAUGAUUAGCUUAAUCACAGGGAGUUACUGUAGCAUGAUUCUCAGGGUGUUACAUGUGACUUGCAAAAGUACUAAUGAUAAAGAACUAUUUUGAGUUUCCGCAAUGGAAUGAGGAAUAAGGAAAAAGUACUCCCAUAUCGUUAACAGAUAACUUCAUUACAUAUGAAGUAAUCAGAUACAUGAAGUAGAUACUCGAAGUUUCCUCAAUUCACAAGAGUUGUGAAUGGUUUUUCGAAAUUGUGGCAGAAAAGUUCUUGCCACAUUUCGAGGGGGAGAAAGAAAUAUGAGAUAUCCAUUAAUGAAGAAUGUGAUCAUUUGGGGGAGUACGACGAUCAUAAUAAUACCCCUAAAGAAAAGAAAUAGAUGUAUUCCUGGAUCUUUUACAGUUCCGAAAGCAGACUAAGGAAUACUAAGACAGUGCUUAAAGUGCCAUAAAGAAGAAAAUUUUAACAGAAUAAACCCAAAUAAUAAAGUUUAAAGAUACGCCAUUCUUUGUGAAGAUGGAGUAAUCUAGGGGAGCAUGGUAUGAAGAUACCUAAGACUCAAAUAGAUUGUAUCUGGGGGAGCAUGUUGUAUGACCUAUACAACACCCGUUGUUAGCUCUAUAAAGGAGGAAUGAUUAAACAGGAGGUCCCUGUAAAACCUAUUGCCUCUUGGAAGUGAAAGACUACAAUUAAUUUGCCUCUUGGCAAUGACAGAGCAACAACAUCCCCAUAUGAAAGAUGUGCCAGUACCUGAGACACAGAUGGUCUCAAGGAAUGAGAAAAUCAGAUACUUCUGAUUACUAUAAAGUCUAUGUUAGUGAAAUUCAAAUGGAGGUUGAUCCCACCUCAUUUAAAGCGCUCAAUCGAGUUUUGAGAAGUGUCUGCUUAUCUAAAUGAUAAGAGACUAUGUGAGAUGAAAUGAAAUUGGUGAAUUCUGACGAUGUUCGGGACUCAUGAGUAAUUUCCAAUGGAGCCAAAACAGUAGGCUGUAAAGAGUCUACAAGGACAAUGUGACUCCAAAGGAAAUAUGUAAAGGUGUAAAACACGACUAAAAUCGAAAGGUUUGUAGCGCAUUUUACACUGAAUAGAUUACAAUGAGUGUUGGUAGCACAUCAUGAUCUGAGUUACAUCAGAUGAAAGUAAAGAACACAGGGGAUACUGACUAAAGAAGUCUUUUAUGGACUAAAGCAAUCAAAUGUUGUUUUGGGUUAAAGAAAAUGAGAGAACAAUUGUGUUUGUAUAAAGUUAUAGAAUGGGAAUUUCAUUUCCUAUAUCUUGUACAUGCGGAUAACAUUCUGCUUGUUAGUAGUGAUGUUAAUUCGACUGCAGGAGGAAAAGAAGUUCUUGUCCUCAAAGUUUAAAAGAAUGUCUCUCGUUAUAAGGAUCAAGAUUCACCGAGAAAAGAAUAAAAGGGGUAUUAGGUGUGUCGCAUGGGCAUGCUAAGGAAAGUUUCCAAAGUGUGCAUGCGAGAAAACCUACGCCUGUUCUUAUAGUAAAGGGUAAUGAUUUUGGGAACUUUAGUGUUCCAAAAGUCAAUACGAAAUAGACCAAAUGAAUAUGGUACCAUAUGCUUCAGCUGUUGGAAGCUUAAUGAAUGCAAAAGUAUAACAUUACAGUGACACAGUUCACGUAACUGGGUUGUUUUGGUAAUGUCCAGUCCAGAUAUAGAUCACUGGAAUGGAGUCAAGGAUAUCGGCCUCAUGCUGAAAGAAAUAAGUGCUCUCAAAAGAUUGUGAGUACAAAGACAGGACUCGUGAAAUAUACAGCGAAAUCCACAAUUGUCGCUGACUUUCACACUUGGAGUUUUUGUGUGGAAAAACUCUAAAGAAUGAAUCAAUUAUCAUUAAUAUGAUGUAAAGAUAAUGUACAACAUGAUAUGAGGCUGAGGGACAGGCAAAAAAGGUUAAAGAAACAAGUACCCGGAAUUGAUAAUGGUUGACAACAGCGAUAACCAUUUUAAGUUUUUCGCUCCUAUGACAACGAGUCAAGUGUUGAUGCCAAACACACUGACACAGAGUUAUGUGUUGUAAAGGAGAAAGUCCGGAAUCAUGUAGAAAUGCUUGAAGCAUAAAAGCAAUAGACAAGUGUUUGCAGAUCUGCUUAUUAAAGGCUUGCCGCCCAGUGUGUUCGGUGAACACACAGUCGACAUGGGUUUUAUGGUAUAGUCUAAGAUUUCCGGACAAUAAAAGGGCCCAAGGUUAAAGAAUCUGUUUCAAAACAGAGGAGUGUGUUGUAGGUGUUGAUUCUAUCGGGAAUGAACCGUGAUGUUGAGACAUGCUCUACAUGCAAAUCUGUGAUGGAACAAGUACUUUGAAAAGAGUUAUUUCAAAGUAUAAAGUUAAAAGUAUAAUGAUGAGAUCAAGGGGGAGAAUGUUAGGUUGAUCUCUCCACCAAUGGGCCCAACGGCUCAUUGGGCCCUUGACCCACGCCCUGAUCGGGGGCGUCCAGCCCAAGCAAGGCUGGUGGGCCCCUGUCGCGCAGUGCUAUAAAGAGGAGGUGGGGACCAGGGGCACGGGGUACGAGGUUCGUCACCGCCACUGUUCCCCACUCCUAACCCUAUCCGAUCCAGAGGGAGGCACUGAAGCGAUGGGGAAGCUCCACCGCUGCCACUCAUGCACUUCACCGUCGACCUCUACACCGACCGUCGCUGCCCGUGCGCAGUCCUCCAUCGACGAACCAGCAAUGGCCGGAACGCUAAGGUAAACACCCGAAUACAGACAAUAUCCCACUGAUCUACUCCUAGUCGAUCCAGUAAGUCAAUCAGUUUUUACGUACGUGUCAUGCACCACAUUAACUUGCAAGCUUUUGAUGAUCACACUUGGCAAUCUCACGGCCAACUACUUACUUAAUUGACAGGAUUAAAUGCAUAAAGGGCUCGUCUGAAGAAAAAUAUAAUAAUAUUUUACAAUUGAAAUUACAUGAGAAUUUGUUCAUAAUCCUGUUGGGUUGUAUGUAUGCACCAUUAUUAUCCUACAUACAAAUUUCCUUUUCUUUGGAGGAGAUUAUAGAACAUGAGUUCAAAGCUCGUGUUAAAUCACUUUGACAAGUUAAAAAGUAAGAGGGUAAUCCUUUCCCCCUUUUUAAAUUUCAGUUAGAGAAACAUUUUAUUGCCGUUUCCUGUAGAGCAUCUAAACAUUUUUUAAUAGGAAAUAGGCAAUGGUGCCCAGCUUUUUAUGUAAAGCUUAGAAAUGUCUUGCAGCUUCAGGCCUGGGGAUACCCAAGCAUCUAAACAAUUACUCUGUAAUAAUUGCAUUUUCAAUUUCUACAGGAACCCACAAGACAUUACAUCCUAUAGAGGAAUCAUUCUAUAGUAAUAUUCUGUUUCUCCUAUUAUUGUGUUUGCAAUAUUCUAUCUAAGUGGGGCUUAAAGUGGCACAAGAGUGUUAGUUGCUAAUUAAUUUAGUUUGAAUUGUAGUAUUAGAGAAUAGUUUAGAUCAGCUAUAUAAAAAGGAUAACAUGUUUGUACCAAGGUUAGCAGCUUUGUGGCCUUGGUGGUUUGCUUUAUUUAUAAAGUACUCCACAAGCAAUGGCCAUUCUCUGAUGAAACCCUUGAUGCAAACGGAUUGAUGCACUUUUUUUAGAUUAAUUGAUGCACUUCAAGUAUACAACACUUGAUGCACUUCACUGGAAGCUUAUUGUUCAAAUGGAUUGCAAAGUGACAAAUGAUGGUCAUUCUGUGAAUGAAGCCAAGAUUCCCUUUUCCCAAAUUCUCUCCAACUAAUCGACGCAUGCAUGCAUGCACAGCCACAUACUUUACUUAAAUACUCCAUCCGUUCCUAAAUAUUUGUCUUUCUAGAGAUUUCAAUAAGUGACUACAUACAGAGCAAAAUGAGUGAAUCUACAUUCUAAAAUAUGUCUAUAUACAUCCGUAUGUGGUAGUCCAUUUGAAAUCUCUAAAAGAUAAAUAUUUAGGAACGAAGGGAGUAGUAUAUAUCUUAAAAUAUAAGUGCAUGAAUGCAAUCAGUAGUUAUAUGUCUAUAUAUAAUUGGAAGCUUAGCCUCUUAGUUUGACCAAGGAAUCUCAGCAACCUAUUGGUCAAUAGUCAUGGUACGCAAGUUAGGGUAUUGUGUAGGCUAAUCCAUUGUUCUUGCACAUGGGCGCCUUUUUUUUGCGGGGCUAUUAUUAUUUACUUCUAAAUGGAUACACUACAUAUCAGAUAUAUCUUAUGAAUAUAUUAUGAGGAUUAAACAUGCAUUCACAUUUAUAAUUAUCAGGAAAUACCGUUUUGUCUUUGUUGCGGGAUUUCCCCUGAAGUGAACCCAAUGAUGAACACUCUUUACUUCAUGGACUGCCCUUCUCCGCUCACAACACCUACACAAUCAUCACUGACCAGUCGAGUGCAACUCCGACUACAUUUGGUCCUCUAAUGACCCCAUAAAAGUAAAGAUCUUCGCUUGGCUCAUUUUGAGGGAUCGUUUAAACUCCAAGGCAAACCUGUUGCACGAGUGAAUUGUUUCUUCAGCAGCUUGUCCUAGGUGUGAUGCCCUCAUGAAAGAUGCCAAGAAUAUUGUGCUCCAUUGUCCGGAAGCUUCACAAGUGUGGCUUGAUUUUGGCCUUGCUGCCCCUCCAUCCAUGUAACUCAUUUGGGAUGUGCCUUCUCGUUCGGGCCUCGACCCCAGCAUUUGGCCAAUGGUCGCUCUCACUAUUCUAUGGAAGAUUUGGGACUUAAGGAACACCACUUCAUUCCGAGCGUAGUCACAUAGCUCCAGAAGCACCAUUAGAAACAUUGUUCUAGACUUUUUGCUUUGGAUUUUUAGAUUAAAUGACAUCUCUCAAAAGGACACCGCCAUAUCUUGCAGUUGCACCUCUCCUCUCUAUUGUAACAUGGUACCUGCAAUGUUCAGGUGGUAAAUAUAUUCAGGUGGGGAACUCCCACCCACCCAGUGAUUGUUCAAAAAAUAUAUCCAGGAAAGGCCAACUAUAUAUAUGCAAUCUCGUAAUAGAUGUGAGCCUAUGGCUUGGGGACAGAAAGGACUUCAUUAUGUACCUAUGCUCAAUUCGAUUAAUUAAUUGUCCAUUGCCUUUGGUAUUUAUGCAAACAUGUUCAGAUAAUUGUUUUGUUGAACAUAAUUUUUCACUUUAGUUUUGCAUAAAAAUAUUCCAUGCAUGUUUCGAAGUUGAAACGUUGCCUAACUUACCAUUUUCAUUUUGGCCUGCUAAUUAGUCAUAUGCUUACAUACUUCGAAUACAUACAAGUUUCUGCAAACAACUAGAUUUUUCAAGUAAACCUCCCGGCCUCUACAUACUCAGAUGCACACAUCCAUAUUUUUUUUAAA